GCGAAUCCCAAAAAUAAACGUCCCAGUUCGGAUUGCAGUCUGCAACUCGACUGCAUGAAGCUGGAAUCGCUAGUAAUCGCGAAUCAGAAUGUCGCGGUGAAUACGUUCCCGGGUCUUGUACACACCGCCCGUCACACCAUGGGAGUUGGGAAUGCCCGAAGCCGGUGACCUAACCGAAAGGGAGGAGCCGUCGAAGGCAGGCUUGAUAACUGGGGUGAAGUCGUAACAAGGUAGC
rnacentral:rRNA from 1 species